rnacentral:rRNA from 1 species
GACGAACGCUGGCGGCGUGCUUAACACAUGCAAGUCGAACGGAAAGGCCCAGCUUGCUGGGUGCUCGAGUGGCGAACGGGUGAGUAACACGUGGGUGAUCUGCCCUGGACUUUGGGAUAAGCCUGGGAGACUGGGUCUAAUACCGGCAAUGACCGUCGCCUGCAUGGGUGUUGGUGGAAAGCUUUUGCGGUUCAGGAUGGGCCCGCGGCCUAUCAGCUUGUUGGUGGGGUAAUGGCCUACCAAGGCGACGACGGGUAGCCGACCUGAGAGGGUGAUCGGCCACACUGGGACUGAGACACGGCCCAGACUCCUACGGGAGGCAGCAGUGGGGAAUAUUGCACAAUGGGCGCAAGCCUGAUGCAGCGACGCCGCGUGGGGGAUGACGGCCUUCGGGUUGUAAACCUCUUUCGCUAGGGACGAAGCUUUUGGGUGACGGUACCUGGAGAAGAAGCACCGGCCAACUACGUGCCAGCCGCCGCAGUAACAC